rnacentral:rRNA from 1 species
AUUGAACGCUGGCGGAAUGCUUUACACAUGCAAGUCGAACGGCAGCACGGGGGCAGCCCUGGUGGCGAGUGGCGAACGGGUGAGUAAUACAUCGGAACGUGCCCGGUCGUGGGGGAUAACGUAGCGAAAGUUACGCUAAUACCGCAUACGAUCUGAGGAUGAAAGCGGGGGACCUUCGGGCCUCGCGCGAUCGGAGCGGCCGAUGUCAGAUUAGGUAGUUGGUGGGGUAAAGGCCUACCAAGCCGACGAUCUGUAGCUGGUCUGAGAGGACGACCAGCCACACUGGGACUGAGACACGGCCCAGACUCCUACGGGAGGCAGCAGUGGGGAAUUUUGGACAAUGGGCGCAAGCCUGAUCCAGCCAUUCCGCGUGCAGGACGAAGGCCUUCGGGUUGUAAACUGCUUUUGUACGGAACGAAAAGGCUCUGGCUAAUACCUGGGGCUCCUGACGGUACCGUAAGAAUAGGCACCGGCUAACUACGUG